UAGGAAUGUUUUUGCCUGGCGCCUAAAUAUAUGCAACGAAGGUGCUAGAUGAGCCUCCCUGGCGAGAGCAUUGCAGAAACAGGAAAACACCAUACUAGACAAGGUUUGCCCAAAAUGCAAACCAAGAAAAACUUUGCCAAUUAUCCCCAUUCUGUAGGUGUGACUGAGUGUUCAUGGAUUGUUCCAAAGAGCCAGAUCAAGUUAAAUAUUGCUCUUUGGUGCCUGGGUAAUAUGUGCUUCUGUACACUAGGUGGCAACCUAUGUAAUCAUUUAGCAGUCUUGGAAAGCAACGCUGAGUUUUGUUGAAAAAGAGGUUACUAAAUAGCAUUUAACGUGUGUAGAAGUUACUUGUCUGUUUAGAUUAGAAAAUAACAAUAUGCAGCUUAAUAAUGUUAAUCAUCACAAGAAUUUGUUCUCAUUAAGCUUUAAUUAAAAAAACAAACAAGAGACAGUGUUGUUUUUAAUGAGCCAAUAAAUAGGAGUUUUUACUGACAUUAGAAGGACACAUAUUUUAGUGUGAUUAGGAAACUAUUUUCUCACCCUAUCUAUGGGAAUUAGUAGUCCUGUUCAUGGGGCUGAAUAUUUGCAUGCCUUUAAAAUGUCUCUAAUGCCAAAAUAAAUUUGACGUAUUGCUACAGGAAUUGAGAAUAUUCUACCUUCAGAGAAAGGAGGGCUCAAGGAAAAGGACUCCACCAAUUUUGGCUGGCUUUCUUCCUCCAUAUCCGAAGAGUUGGAGAGUUCCUCAGCGCUGGAUGGGAUGGCUUCAAAAUCCUCAAACGUAUCAAGCGACGGCAUCUGCCUGCUGGGCCAACCUUUGCAAAGAAGGAGAGCGUUUGGCAUCAGCAGCUGGCAUACUUUAGACAGAAUAUUGAUGGCACUGCACAGCGUGAAAAUCCAGCCUUUUAAAAAACAAAUGAGCAGCUCUCUACCGGAGGAGACCCACUCAAAGAGGUUAAUUUAUUGCAUCUGCAUCACAUCCCUUCCUCCAAGACGCUCGCUUGGAGCAUCAGCACAUCUUCAAAACUAACCUGCAAGGGAGCCAAGUGGAUGCAAAGGGUUAUUGGAAGUGAAGCACGGUGGUGAGGCCUGGGCAUUCAGCAUUAUUGCUUCCACUCAAUGGCCUCAAGAAGCUCCCAGUUAAAAUCUCAUCUGAUCCUGACAAAUAAGGACUAUGGCAUAGGGAACCGCCAACUGCCAGACCAGGACUGCACAUUUCCAUAUCAAUUGGUGACAUUUUAUUUAAAGCCAUCAUGGAUAUCGUUCAGCAUUUUAGUGCCAAUCCCUCCUAAUAUACACACUUUUUAAAAAACUCACUAAUAUUUUUGUAUGUUCUUUUCACUAUUAUAUGCAUUUUACACACA